rnacentral:lncRNA from 1 species
GUGAGGUGUAGUCGCGGCAACCAGGAGGUGGGCGUGUGGUAACGCGGCGCGCGGGAGGGUGGCUUGAAAGGGUCUUUAUGAACCCUAGGGAAAGGCCGUCUGGUAGGAACUCCAUUUCAAGACCUUUUAAAGUGAGACCUGCAUAUGUUGAAAGAGUUUCAGAGAGUGAAGCUGGGUUCUUAGAAGCUGGAAUGUCCCAGCAGAAUGUAGAAAUGCGAAAAAUUCGGCACAGUAGUCUAAACAGGUGCACCCACCACUAGAAUUUGAACAUCCUAAGAACAGGUAUUUUUGUCUCUGCUUUGCUGAUGUAUCCUCAGCAACCGGAACUGCCUGACAUCUGAUCCUUUCUGUGAGACACCAGGCUGUUGAGGAAGAAUCUAUGGCAACAUUGUAUCUAUUAAUAUACAGCUUCUGUAUUUAUCAGGCCCAGUUCUGGUGAUGAUUUCACUUUUGACAGAAGCUGUCCCUCAAAAGCAAACAUGCAAUAGAAGAAACAGAUCUCAAUGCCAUCCAUCUGCAGUUGUGACAAGCAAAAAAGUCUCCAGACAUGGCCAAAUGUCCCCUGGGGGGCAAAAUCACCCCCAAUUGAGAACUACUGCUCUAAACUGCAAUGGUGCAAGACCCACUCGAGCACGCUCAGCUAUCAUAUGGAAAAAACAAAAACACCACAUUUGCCUUAUUAUACACACAGAACCAACAGCUCUUUCUGAGAUUUGCUUGAUGAAUAACAUAUCCUCCUGGCUUCCCUUUCUAA